UGAAAAUAUAUUUCUUUCAAACCAAAAUACAUUUCAAAACAUAUUUUAGGGUGAAGAAAAUACAUUUCCAACCUUACAGUAGAAUGUAUAUCAAAGUAUCCUUUAUUUAAAAUGUAUUUAGUGCAAUAAUGAUGAUAAUGAUAAUAAUACUAAAAGUAACAUGCUUUAUGCACAUCUGCAAAAAACAGUUGGAUUCAAACAAAACAGAGUCAAAGGUCUAGCAAGAAUUAGGUUGUUUAUUCAUUUGCUUGCAGUAUUUCACAUUACACAAUAUUUCACUGUAAUGUAGCGUUCAUUGACUUUGAAAUUAUCUGUCAGUGAUACAGUAAACAAGAUACAACAACUGCUAUGUACACUUUAGUUUUUGACAAUAUAUACAGUGUAGUACUUAAAUGAACACACUCCACUUUUUUUGGAAAUAGGCUCAUUCUCCAUCUCCCUCAGAGUUAAAAAUGCAGCGUCUUCUUUCUAGAUCCGUACAUUAAUAGGACUCUGGAGCGUGAUCUUACGGGAUGGGGCGUAGCCAGGAUUUUUGGUCGAGGCGCCAUAUUAGCAGGCCAAACAAAUGCUUGCUGUGUGGUCGGUUGUAAUGUUAGAUUGCACUACCGGCAAAGGAAUAAGCUUGAAAACAGGCUCUCUUUUCAUUGUUUCCUCACCUGGAAGCAUCAUGAGGGAGCUUAUAUGUUGGAUGUUACCAAAAGAAGGCGUCUAGCCUGGAUAGCAGCUGCGAGACGAGCUGAUAUUCAGUUCUCUACCAUCCACAGAUAUCUGUUGGUGUGCUUCAGUAUUUUCAUUCAGCAAACCAGCCUAUGAAAUGAAAGAAACAAAUCCUGACUGGGUUCCAACACUACACAUGGGGCACUACGAAAUCCCUGCUUCAAACUACAUGCUACAUACCACCAUACCAAUCAGAUUACUUCUUCCAUGUGUAGGUAAAAAGGUGACCCUCCUGGAUAAGAUGGCAAAGGUUUGCUGCGUUUUGGUGAACAUGUGCCCCAGUGUGGUAGUAAAACCAGGGAAAAAUGCUCUUGUUAAAUACUCUUAAGUCUUGUGCUGUUUAUGUAGUGAUAAGUUUUCAAAACAGACAGUAAAUUACAGAAUGCUAGUAGUGGGUGAUAUUAUUUAAAUGCUGUCAUGAUUUUAUGUGAACAUUUUGUCAUUUGUAAACUAUA